GCCAGACUCCUACGGGAGGCAGCAGUGGGGAAUAUUGCACAAUGGGGGAAACCCUGAUGCAGCAACGCCGCGUGAAGGAAGACGGUUUUCGGAUUGUAAACUUCUAUCAAUAGGGAAGAAAGAAAUGACGGUACCUAAAUAAGAAGCCCCGGCUAACUACGUGCCAGCAGCCGCGGUAAUACGUAGGGGGCGAGCGUUAUCCGGAUUCACUGGGUGUAAAGGGAGCGUAGACGGCCAAGCAAGCCAGGGGUGAAAGCCCGGGGCCCAACCCCGGGACUGCCCUUGGAACUGCACGGCUGGAGUGCAGGAGGGGCAGGCGGAAUUCCUGGUGUAGCGGUGAAAUGCAUAGAUAUCAGGAGGAGCACCGGUGGCGAAGGCGGCCUGCUGGACUGCGACUGACGUUGAGGCCCGAAAGCGUGGGGAGCAAACAGGAUUAGAUACCCCCGUAC
rnacentral:rRNA from 1 species